rnacentral:rRNA from 1 species
UACAGAGGGUGCGAGCGUUAAUCGGAAUUACUGGGCGUAAAGGGCGCGUAGGCGGUUUAUUAAGUUGGAUGUGAAAUCCCUGGGCUUAACCUAGGAAUGGCAUCUGAUACUGAUAGGCUUGAGUGCGGUAGAGGGUAGUGGAAUUUCCGGUGUAGCGGUGAAAUGCGUAGAUAUCGGAAGGAACACCAGUGGCGAAGGCGGCGAUCUGGGUAGAUACUGACGCUGAGGUGCGAAAGCGUGGGGAGCAAACAGG